AUUGAACGCUGGCGGCAGGCCUAACACAUGCAAGUCGAACGGUAACAGGAAGAAGCUUGCUUCUUUGCUGACGAGUGGCGGACGGGUGAGUAAUGUCUGGGAAACUGCCCGAUGGAGGGGGAUAACUACUGGAAACGGUAGCUAAUACCGCAUAACGUCGCAAGACCAAAGAGGGGGACAUUUGGGCCUCUUGCCAUCGGAUGUGCCCCGAUGGGAUUAGCUAGUAGGUGGGGUAACGGCUCACCUAGGCGACGAUCCCUAGCUGGUCUGAGAGGAUGACCAGCCACACUGGAACUGAGACACGGUCCAGACUCCUACGGGAGGCAGCAGUGGGGAAUAUUGCACAAUGGGCGCAAGCCUGAUGCAGCCAUGCCGCGUGUAUGAAGAAGGCCUUCGGGUUGUAAAGUACUUUCAGCGGGGAGGAAGGGAGUAAAGUUAAUACCUUUACUCAUUGACGUUACCCACAGAAGAAGCACCGGCUAACUCCGUG
rnacentral:rRNA from 1 species